GAUGAACGCUGGCGGCGUGCUUAAUACAUGCAAGUCGAACGGGGACUUUGUAGCAAUACGGAGUCUUAGUGGCGAACGGGUGCGUAACGCGUUGGUGACCUGCCCCGAAGUGUGGGAUAACAGUCCGAAAGGACUGCUAAUACCGCAUGUGGCCAUCGGGAUUAGAAUCCGAUGUCUAAAGCAGUAAUGCGCUUUGGGAGGGACCUGCGUCCCAUCAGCUAGUUGGUAAGGUAACGGCCUACCAAGGCUACGACGGGUAGGGGACCUGAGAGGGUGGUCCCCCACAUUGGCACUGAAACACGGGCCAAACACCUACGGGUGGCAG
rnacentral:rRNA from 1 species